AUACGGAGGGUCCGAGCGUUAUCCGGAAUCAUAGGGUUUAAAGGGUCCGUAGGCGGGUUUGUAAGUCAGUGGUGAAAGUUUUCUGCUCAACCGGAAAAUUGCCAUUGAUACUGCAAGUCUUGAAUCAUUAUGAAGUGGUUAGAAUGUGUAGUGUAGCGGUGAAAUGCAUAGAUAUUACACAGAAUACCGAUUGCGAAGGCAGAUCACUAAUAAUGUAUUGACGCUAAGGGACGAAAGCGUGGGUAGCGAACAGGAUUAGAAACCCCAGUAGUCC
rnacentral:rRNA from 1 species